rnacentral:lncRNA from 1 species
GGCCCUGUGUCUCGACUGCACCCCGCUAGACCCCCACCUCUCCCGCUGCUCCGACGAUUCCUGGAUCUUCUCCAGCCAGGAAGUGUGAACUGGGUGCCCUCAGCUAACUCAGAGUCCACUGAAGAAAAGGACCAGGACCAGGCUGGGCCUCAGGCAGAGAGAACUGGCGAUCUGGAUCAGAGUUGGGGUUUCCUAAAAGUGGCACGAUCGUAACGUAUGCUGCCAAUUUCUCGCCAAGUUGAGCUCUAGAACAGGAGCCUGAACACUCAGAAGGCACAGACCCGACCUCCCUUCCUUUACCUAUGCCAACACCAAGUGCAGAGAUGUCUCCUGGAUUUGGCUGUUGAGGAGGAAGAUCAGUGAAAGACAAGAUGCAGUCCUGUCUGGAAGGCCUACCAGUGCCUACCAGGAGUCCCCUUGAUCUGGAAGCCGCACUCUUCACUUCCCAGAAUGGCUCCUUACCCUCCUUUUAGAGCAAUGCUAGAGCUGUCCGUAAUGUGACCUACUGUUAUCCCUCAAGUAAGGAAAGCUUGCCAUGUAAAACCUGCCGUUUUAGUCUACCAAUGUGACAUGGGAUAAAAAGAAAUAAAAAUAUGUAGCGAGGAGACAAAGGCAAUCCCAAUUUUGAAACUACUUUUGAGAAGACUGAAACUUCAGGACACAAUCAAACUUACCCGGGACUGUCCACAUCUGAACUCCCUA